GCCCUUCUAGUAUAAUUAUUACAAUUGACUUCCAAUCUCUAAAAUCUGGCGCAACCCCAGAGAUGGGCA
rnacentral:tRNA from 1 species